rnacentral:rRNA from 1 species
ACGAACGCUGGCGGCGUGCUUAACACCUGCAAGUCGAACGGAAAGGCCCUGCUUUUGUGGGGUGCUCGAGUGGCGAACGGGUGAGUAACACGUGAGUAACCUGCCCUUGACUUUGGGAUAACUUCAAGAAACUGGGGCUAAUACCGGAUAGGAGCUCCUGCUGCAUGGUGGGGGUUGGAAAGUUUCGGCGGUUGGGGAUGGACUCGCGGCUUAUCAGCUUGUUGGUGGGGUAGUGGCUUACCAAGGCUUUGACGGGUAGCCGGCCUGAGAGGGUGACCGGCCACAUUGGGACUGAGAUACGGCCCAGACUCCUACGGGAGGCAGCAGUGGGGAAUAUUGCACAAUGGGCGGAAGCCUGAUGCAGCAACGCCGCGUGCGGGAUGACGGCCUUCGGGUUGUAAACCGCUUUCGCCUGUGACGAAGCGUGAGUGACGGUAAUGGGUAAAGAAGCACCGGCUAACUACGUG